ACUGCGAAGGGAUGAGAGAAGGAAGGUCGAGUGCAAAACUGCGAGUCUACGAAUAGAAAUGUCAUAUAUGGCCGCGUCUCAGGGGGCGAGUUAACCCGUGAUAACGAAAUCCACUGAUAUCGCGGGAUACGGUAAAUGGCAAGGUUGUGCAGCGAAAGUUUAU
rnacentral:ncRNA from 1 species